GGAGGUAGUGACAAUAAAUCACAAUGCGGAACUAUUAGUUUUGCAAUUGGAUUGAGAACAAUGUACAAAUGUUAUCGAUAAACAAUUGGAGGGCAAGUCUGGUGCCAGCAGCCGCGGUAAUUCCAGCUCCAAUAGCGUAUAUUAACGUUGUUGCAGUUAAAAAGCUCGUAGUUGAAUUGAAGUGAACUUGGGUUGAUGUAAUCUUCGGAUGACAUGAAUCAAAGUUGACUCUUUCCAAAGUCAAUACAUUGGUAUUCAUUUAUCUUUGUAUUGUGUUUGGUCAUUUACUGUGAGAAAAUUAGAGUGUUCAAAGCAGACGUUUGUUUGAAUACAUUAGCAUGGAAUAAUCAUAUAUGGCUUUCAUGUUGAUUUGAUUGGUUUGAAUAUGGAAGCAAGAUUAAAAGGGACAGUUGGGGGUAUUCAUAUUCAAUAGUCAGAGGUGAAAUUCUGGGAUUUAUGGAAGAUGAACAAGUGCGAAAGCA
rnacentral:rRNA from 1 species